rnacentral:rRNA from 1 species
UACAGAGGGUGCAAGCGUUAAUCGGAAUUACUGGGCGUAAAGCGUGCGCAGGCGGUUUUGUAAGACAGAUGUGAAAUGCCCGGGCUUAACCUGGGAACUGCAUUUGUGACUGCAAGGCUAGAGUUUGGCAGAGGGGGGUAGAAUUCCGACGUGUAGCAGUGAAAUGCGUAGAUAUGUGGAGGAAUACCGAUGGCGAAGGCAGCCCCCUGGGUCAAGACUGACGCUCAUGCACGAAAGCGUGGGGAGCAAACAGG